rnacentral:misc_RNA from 1 species
GAUGAAGAACGCAGCGAAAUGCGAUAAGUAAUGUGAAUUGCAGAAUUCAGUGAAUCAUCGAAUCUUUGAACGCACCUUGCACUCCUUGGUAUUCCGAGGAGUAUGCCUGUUUGAGUGUCAUUAAAUUCUCAAUCUUUUACGCCUUUUCGGCUAGAAGAUUGGAUGUGGGGGUCUUUGUGAGCCAUGGAUUAGGCCUCACUCCCCUGAAAUACAUUAGCUGGAAUGCCUUUGCAAACCAACUAUCAGUGUGAUAAUUAUCAGUACUGGAGUUGAUGCAUUAAGGGGAUCUGCUUUAGAACUGUCGUCAGACAAUGUGAAUAAAUUUGACCUCAAAUCAGGUAGGAUUACCCGCUGAACUUAAGCAUAUCAAUAAGCGGAGGA